CACAAAGGUUUGGUCCUGACCUUAUUAUCAAUUUUAACCUAACUUACACAUGCAAGCCUCCACACCCCAGUGAGAACACCCUCAAGCCCUCUCAGGAACGAGGAGCCGAUAUCAGGCACAACAGUUUGCCUAAGACACCUAGCCUCGCCACACCCACAAGGGUAUUCAGCAGUGAUCAACAUUGAAUAUUAACGCCAGUUAAAUUCAGUUAAGGUUCCCAGAGCCAGCUAAUCCGGUGCCAGCCGCCGCGGCUAUACCGGAGACUCAAAUUGAUUUUAAUCGGCGUAAAGCGUGUUUAAAGUGUCACCUAAACUAGAGUUGAGCCAAAAUUAAGCUGUGAUAAGCUUGUUCCCUGAAAACCUCAAACCACGAAAGUUACUCUAGAUAAUCCCUUGACUCACGAUAGCAGGGGGACAAACUGGGAUUAGAUACCCCACUAUGCCCUGCCACAAACUUUAACUUACAAUCAACCCGCCUGAGAAUUACGAGCCACGCUUAAAACUCAAAGGACUUGACGGUACCCCACAUCCCCCUAGAGGAGCCUGUCCUAUAAUCGAUAACCCCCGCUAAACCUCACCCUUUCUAGCUAAUCAGUCUGUAUCUUCCGUCGCCAGCUUACCACGUGAGCGCGAUUCAGUGAGCCCUUCGUCAAUUCACAUAAACGUCAGGUCAAGGUGCAGCAAAUGAAAGGGGAAGAGAUGGGCUACAUUCUCUAAACUAGAGUAUACGGAAAAGCUACGUGAAACCUAGCUAUGAAGGCGGAUUUAGAAGUAAGAAGAGAACAGAGUGCUCUUCUAAACCCGGCGCUGGGGUGUGUACACACCGCCCGUCACCCUCCUCGAGGCCAAUCAAUUAGUAUAUUACAUGUAACAGCCAUAAAGAUGAGGCAAGUCGUAACACGGUAAGUAUACCGGAAGGUGUGCUUGGA
rnacentral:ncRNA from 1 species